AGCGAACGCUGGCGGCAGGCUUAACACAUGCAAGUCGAGCGGGCGUAGCAAUACGUCAGCGGCAGACGGGUGAGUAACGCGUGGGAACGUACCUUUUGGUUCGGAACAACACAGGGAAACUUGUGCUAAUACCGGAUAAGCCCUUACGGGGAAAGAUUUAUCGCCGAAAGAUCGGCCCGCGUCUGAUUAGCUAGUUGGUGAGGUAAUGGCUCACCAAGGCGACGAUCAGUAGCUGGUCUGAGAGGAUGAUCAGCCACAUUGGGACUGAGACACGGCCCAAACUCCUCCGGGAGGCAGCAGUGGGGAAUAUUGGACAAUGGGCGCAAGCCUGAUCCAGCCAUGCCGCGUGAGUGAUGAAGGCCCUAGGGUUGUAAAGCUCUUUUGUGCGGGAAGAUAAUGACGGUACCGCAAGAAUAAGCCCCGGCUAACUUCGUGCCAGCCGCCGCCGUAACAC
rnacentral:rRNA from 1 species